GGUAGGGUUACAGGUCAGUUGGUUACAAGAAUACUAGUCGAAUACAACUAGAGGAGUUCUACUUUUAUUACUAUGAGUACUUUUUCUAAUCCUCGGCUAGUUUCUGUCUAUUCAUGUGGACUAUACCGUCCUAUGCCAUAGUCUCCAUGUUAGAUACGUCUCGAUGUCCAGCCCCAUAUUUUAGGACUAUCCAAACCUUCUGGUGGGUCCAUAGAUGUAUGUAUGAUAGUAGGCUUGGCGGUGGCUGCGGGUUGUGGGCAGCAAGGCCGGGCGGCAAUGGCGCUGCCGGCCGGGUGGUAGGGGACCCCCGGUGGGGGUGCCGGCGGCAGGGCAAGCGGUGAUAGUGGUUAGCGGAGGGUGGGGUGGUAGGUGGGUAGAGCUG
rnacentral:lncRNA from 1 species